UAAGCAAACCACAAUUGCAGUGCUUUGUUUCAUAGUGAUUACAAUCAGAACAAGUCAUAAUCACACGUUUGGUAAAAACUAGAGAAAACACUUUUAUAUUCAGUUCAUUAACGAUGCGUCUUGUUGAAAAGUUAGCCUUAGAAAAGUCUCAUGAUCUAUGGAUUCAGACAUCCGUCAGUAUUAAUUUUCGGUUGCUCCUCGAAUUUCUCUUUUCGAAGGCUGUCCAAAUUGAUGACCAUUUGGUGGAAGUUGUCGAGGCAGAAAGAACGUCAAAGGAAAAGUGCAUCAAAUUUCUCCAAAUCAUAAAAGAGUUCACAGGUCGUGAUUUGUUGGGACGGCUCAUGAAGGAAAUGGCCAUUCAAUUAGGCGAAACGAGUCCAUUAAUAGUCAAAGUUGAAUCUCUUAUUUUGGAAACACAAACAGCGCUGAGAAAUAAAGACAACUUUAUUUCCCAUGCAAAACGACUUAACGUCAAAAUUUUCGACCCUGUGAUUGGGUUCGAUUCACAUUUCAGUUUUCUAGCACAGGAAAGGAACUUUGAAAGCAUAUAUUUGAUGAAAUCUGAAACCAAUGAAGUUCAUGAAGUUACUGAAGGUCAUGAAGAGCAUCAAAAACAAAAAAUGGCGCUUAUCGAAAAAGUUAAACUUACCGAAAGUGAAAAAUCUUUUAUUUUGACUACUUUAAAAACCAGAAUGGAGCUCACUGAAAUUUUAAAAUUUUCUGAUUUGGUCAAAGAUUACUGGGAAAAAUUAGCUGUUGAAAUGGAUAUUGGCGACUUAGUUUACUCAAUAAAAAGCUCUAACCAGUCGAACUACGAUCGUUCUAUGGAGUGCUUAAACAAGUCUUUUCAGCGAAAUUUCUCAAAGUUUGACCGAGAGUACUUGAUGAAGUCAAUCGCACGAGCAGACAACAAAUUGCUGCAACAAGACGAUCUUUUAGAAAUAUUCGGCUUUGGAAAUUUCAAAAACAAAUCGCGCAAUGUAUAUAUGUAUCUGAAUUUGAUAAAACCUUAGUUUUGGAAGUUGUAGUAUUUAUUUUCGUAACGAUUAUCAAUCAUAAAAAAGAAUCUUUGA